CAGUUAUAGAAAAGGAGAACUCCAUCAAGACAAACACCCAUACUCCAAACAACUCAGACAAAAUCAGGAUGAUAUAAAACUACAAUUAACUGUUAUUGAUGAUAUGAAGCGAGAAAUGCUGUAUGUCAAAUGCAGAAAGCAGUAACCGGA